rnacentral:rRNA from 1 species
CCUACGGGAGGCAGCAGUGAGGAAUAUUGGUCAAUGGGCGGAAGCCUGAACCAGCCAAGUAGCGUGCAGGAUGACGGCCCUACGGGUUGUAAACUGCUUUUAUACGGGAAUAACGCGCCUUACGUGUAGGGCUUUGCAUGUACCGUAUGAAUAAGGACCGGCUCAUUCCGUGGCAGCAGCCGCGGUAAUACGGAGGGUCCGGGCGUUAUCCGGAUUUAUUGGGUUUAAAGGGAGCGUAGGCGGCAUGUCAAGCGUGCUGUGAAAUGUCCGGGCUCAACCCGGGCCUUGCAGCGGAUACUGGCGUGCUUGAGUGCGCGGAAGGCAGACGGAAUUCGUCGUGUAGCGGUGAAAUGCUUAGAUAUGACGAAGAACCCCGAUUGCGAAAGCAGCUUGCUGCAGCGGAACUGACGCUGAGGCUCGAAAGCGCGGGUAUCGAACAGGAUUAGAUACCCUGGUAGUC